rnacentral:lncRNA from 1 species
GAUUAUUUUGUACAUGCAUUUGAGGGAACAUUGAGAAAAAUUACGAGGGGUAGAUGAGUAAUUAAAUUGAUUCCGAAUUGUAAAAUGACUUCUUUUGUAAAUUGAUUUCAUUUUCUCUAUUUCAAAGAUUUGUGAGUGGUAGUCUUGAUUAUACUCCUUUAUGAGUAGUUAAAUUGGAUCCGAAUUGUGAAAUGACUUCUUUUGUAAAUUGAUUUCAUUUCCUCUAUUUCAAAAAUUUGUAGAGCCAUUUUUAGUGGUAUAUUGAGUUGCAUUGCACUCCCAUGAUUCCUCACUCCCAACCCUGAUGUUAGUUAUGAUUGGGUCGUGGCCGAGUGAGUGGUAGUCUUGAUUAUGCUCCUUUUUAGUAGAGUAUUGGGAGGGUGCAUUAUGGCAUUCAUGCAUGGCUUGGCAGUAUCUACAGGACACCUAUAGUCGAUGGGGUUGAACAUCGGCCUGUGUGCACAUAGUAGCCUUCUGGAUGGGCGGAACCCAGUCCCUUCCUAGGGGGCACAGCCGGUCCUAUGACUUAUAUUCUGCUUGCCGCUGGGCAUAGUAAAACCCUGCGAGGUGCAGUAUGGCUUUCCGCGGAUGUAAAAUUCCCGCGAGGUGUCGUUUAGUAUAUAGAUGUGAGAUGUUUCUAUGGAUUUCUGUUAUGGAUACUGGCCAGCAUUUACAUGAUCAGUGUGGUGUCUUAUCCUGCAUAUGCAUGUGACAGUAGGGAGUUGUGGUGGUUCGCCUGGGGUGUAAGACCCACCUUCCGACAGCUGUCCAGUGAUGACUUUGCAUAUUGACAUCCGGAUUUAUAUAUUGGUGUGGUGUCAUAAUCUAUGCAUGCAUAUGGCAGUAGAAAGUUGUUGUGGUUCGCCUGGGGCGUAAGACCCACCUCCCGAUAGUUAUAUAUCAAUGUUUCAGCAUAUUGACACCCGAUUUGUAUGUUCCAGCAUUAUGAUCUGUCGAGCAUAUUCAUGAGUAGCAUAUAUGAUUACUUGAUUAUUCCAUAUGUGCUCUAGAUGAGUUAAUUGUGAUUGUGGUGAUAUUGAUGAUUUACUUCAUAUUCUCUAUGUUGGGUUCAUGUUCAUCUUGUUAUUGAUCUUGAGAUUUCAUCUCGAGCCAUGAUUAUAUUCUGUCUCAUGUGCAUAGUACUCUCUACUCCACUUACUGAGUAUUGAUAUACUCACUCCCUAGUUUGGUGUUUUUGAUUGCAGGGUAGGUAUUGUAUAGAGAGGAGCAGGAUUAGUGGUUGCCUGCUAGCUGUGUCGCUCCAUAGUAUAGUAUAAUGUAGAUAGAGAUUUAUAUCCUUUUGGUGUAUUAUAAACCUUCUGUUGUAUAUUGUGUAUAGUUACAGUCAUAGAUCCUGUUGUGGAUAUGGGUUUGACCAUGGAUGGAAUGAGAACCAGAUUUUUAUACAGAUGAGUUAUAUGCCUGUGAUGAUGUAUUGAUAUAUAUUGUCCAGGUUCAUUAUGUGACAGAUUAUGUGAUUGCUGCUCUGACAGGUAGUGUUGUUGUAUAUAAUGAGAUAAUCCUGACAGUUCACCAUAGAAAAGGUGAUCAUUUUGUGCAUGCAUCAUGCCAAAAUUUUUCAAAAUUUAUUAAUGAUUGAUAGGUAGUAGGAUUCUACAUGGUGGCUGGUGGCCUUAUGCCUACACGCACCCUAGGACCGUCGUGGCGGCCCGCCGGGAACGGAGCGAGGGUCGUGACAAAGAAGUGGUAUCAGAGCAAAGGUUAAAAAGAGUCCUGUCAGAAUAAUAGGGUGAGUCAGGAUUAAGUAUAGGAUUAUACUAUGGAGCAUAGGAUUUUUCUGUAUGUUAAUUUAUGAGUCAUUUACAAUUCAGUAAAAUAUAUUAUGACUCAGUGUGUAACGACUACCCUCUCUUUUUAACUCUUUUAGAGACAUAUAAAGAAUACCUCCAAGGAGAGGACCUGCUCGUCCUGGAAGGAGGAUGGAGCCAGAUAUAGCAUUGGAUGUGGGUUCUGCACAUGUCGAGCCCCAAAGAGAAAAAUCUCCUCCUGCUGAUAGACGGAGGGUUAAUGAUCACGGAGAGGUAGGAAGUAGAGAUGCAUUGAUGGAACAGUUACUGGCGGAGAAUCAGGCUCUGAGAGAGCAGAUUGCUCGGGGGAAACCUCCUGCCCCGUCAGUAGUAUCCAUCCCACCUCCUGUACCUGUGCCAAGAAGUUUGGCCAGGCGGGCUCUAGAUGAUAAAGGGAUUACUGUACAGGAAUUUCUGAGGCUCAGAACCCCGGAGUUUAAGGGGGAAGAAGGUGAAGAUCCUCAGAAAUUCCUGGAGGAGACUGAAAAAAUGAUACGGAGACUGCCCUGUUCUGAUGCAAGAGCUAUAGAACUUGUAGGGCUUACCAUGAAGGAAGAUGCCUGGGACUGGUACCAGAGACAAGUGGAGGACAGAUUGUACAGUAGGAAUCCUCCAACCUAGGAAGAGUUUAGGCAAGCAGUGAUGGAUGAGUUUUUGUCUCCAGCUGAGAGGCAAAAUCGGGCUCUUCAGUUUGAGAGGCUGAAGCAGAUGCCCGGAAUGAGCGUAUCUGAGUACGCUCGUGAGUUCACUAGAUUGGGGAAGUAUGCUCCUUACAUCAUUCCCACUGAAGCUGCCAGGAUAGAAAGAUUCAGGCUUUAUAAUGCAGUACUAGCAGUAGAGGUCCCCACCUUGUCUAGGCUGAUAGAUAAAACAAAAUAGUGGGAGACUAGAAACAAAGAGGAAAGAGCUGAAAGAGAACAGAGGAAAAUGAGUGUGGGGAAGGAGCAAAGCAGUAGAGGUAGAUCUGAGGGAGUAGAUCUCUCGAAGGGCCCGACAGAGCAGUCUGUACGCUCAGCUCCACCUGCCCCACGUAAGAGAAAAUGGAGGAGAAGAGGUCAAUCACAAGAUACUUUUCUACCAUCAGUACCUCGUCCUCCAGUCACUAUGGCCAGAACUGAAUCCGGGUUCCAAUCAUGGCCAGUGUGUGGCAUAUGUGGGAAGCAGCAUCCUGGCAGAUGCAGAAUGGGCCAGGGAGUGUGCUACAGAUGUGGACAGCCGGGUCAUUUUGCCAGAGAAUGCCCGCAGGGUGCCACCCAGCAGUUUGUACCUUUGGCAUCCUACCCUUCUGUGCAGAUGGACAGGUCUAGUAGUAGGGGGCCUGUAGGCAGAGGUAGAGGUUAGACACCAGCGUCACAGCAGAGUGCUGGACCAUCUCAGCCAUCAGCUCCAGUA